rnacentral:rRNA from 1 species
CCUACGGGUGGCAGCAGUGGGGAAUAUUGGACAAUGGGGGGAACCCUGAUCCAGCCAUGCCGCGUGUGUGAAGAAGGCCCUCGGGUUGUAAAGCACUUUCAGUGAGGAAGAACGCCUGGUGGUUAAUACCCAUCAGGAAAGACAUCACUCACAGAAGAAGCACCGGCUAACUCCGUGCCAGCAGCCGCGGUAAUACGGAGGGUGCGAGCGUUAAUCGGAAUUACUGGGCGUAAAGCGCGCGUAGGUGGCUUGAUAAGCCGGUUGCGAAAGCCCCGGGCUCAACCUGGGAACGGCAUCCGGAACUGUCAAGCUAGAGUGCAGGAGAGGAAGGUAGAAUUCCCGGUGUAGCGGUGAAAUGCGUAGAGAUCGGGAGGAAUACCAGUGGCGAAGGCGGCCUUCUGGACUGACACUGACACUGAGGUGCGAAAGCGUGGGUAGCAAACAGGAUUAGAUACCCGAGUAGUC